CAAGGUAGCUGUAGGUGAACCUGCUGCUGGAUCAUUACA
rnacentral:rRNA from 2 species